rnacentral:lncRNA from 1 species
GAUUUCCUUAGACUCCACAAUUUCCGCAAUGAUGAAACCUCUGAUAACUGGCUCAUCAUCUAAUAUAGCCAGGCUGUUGAUGUAGGUCUUGGAGUCCAAGGUCUUAUUGAGGUCACACAGUUUUGCCAUCUUCUUGCCAGUGUACAACUGUAGUUCAAAGGAGCCCAAGAUGUUGACAUUCUGUAGGGCAGCGGUCUUCC